rnacentral:rRNA from 1 species
UACGAAGGGAGCUAGCGUUGUUCGGAAUCACUGGGCGUAAAGCGCACGUAGGCGGAUGUGUCAGUCAGGGGUGAAAUCCCGGAGCUCAACUUCGGAACUGCCCUUGAUACAGCACGUCUUGAGUCCGGAAGAGGUGGGUGGAAUUCCUAGUGUAGAGGUGAAAUUCGUAGAUAUUAGGAAGAACACCGGUGGCGAAGGCGGCACACUGGUCCGGUACUGACGCUGAGGUGCGAAAGCGUGGGGAGCAAACAGG